rnacentral:rRNA from 1 species
AUACGGAGUGUGCAAGCGUUAUUCGGAAUCACUGGGCGUAAAGGACGCGUAGGCGGGUUGGCAAGUCAGAUGUGAAAUCCUACAGCUUAACUGUAGAACUGCAUUUGAAACUGCUAACCUAGAGUAUGGGAGGGGGAGAUGGAAUUAGUGGUGUAGGGGUAAAAUCCGUAGAUAUCACUAGGAAUACCGAAAGCGAAGGCGAUCUCCUGGGACAUAACUGACGCUAAGGCGUGAAAGCGUGGGGAGCAAACAGGAUUAGAAACCCUAGUAGUCC